rnacentral:rRNA from 1 species
AGAGUUUGAUCCUGGCUCAGAAUCAACGCUGGCGGCGUGCCUAACACAUGCAAGUCGAACGCGAAAGUCCCGCAAGGGAUAAGUAGAGUGGCAAACGGGUGAGUAACACGUGGGUGACCUGCCUUCGAGCGGGGGAUAACGUCCCGAAAGGGACGCUAAUACCGCAUAACAUCCUGCCUUUGAAGAGGUGGAGAUCAAAGCCGGGGACCGUAAGGCCUGGCACUUGAAGAGGGGCCCGCGUCUGAUUAGCUAGUUGGUGAGGUAAUGGCUCACCAAGGCAACGAUCAGUAUCCGGCCUGAGAGGGCGGACGGACGCACUGGGACUGAGACACGGCCCAGACUCCUACGGGAGGCAGCAGUGGGGAAUUGUUCGCAAUGGGCGCAAGCCUGACGACGCAACGCCGCGUGGAGGAUGAAGACCUUCGGGUCGUAAACUCCUUUCGAUCGAGACGA